AUAUUCCUACGAUGUACGUAAUUUUUUGUAUGUCUUAAACCAAUGAGUGUAAUACGGAAGUUCGAUAUUUGAAUAUAGCCAUCAAGCCUUUCAAUCGAAAAGGAAGAUGAAAGUAUUUGUGAGAACAUCCACCUGCGAGAGCGGGUUUAUGGACAUCUGGAGAGAACGGCAUAUGUGGGGCUUAA
rnacentral:other from 1 species